rnacentral:sRNA from 1 species
UAACUGUAUUUGUUCAUUUACCUUUCCAUAUCCUGUAAAGGUUAAGUUACACGCUUUUUUCCCCAGAAGACUCAUGUUUAUAUAUACAUAUUUUAUAACUGUAUAUACAGUAUAUUUUAAUAUAUAUUUUACCGAUUUGUAAAAAACCGGAAAAACAUCACAAAAUGUGAUCAGUAAUUAAGGACACAUAUUUUAUUUUCAAUAUGCAGCUUCUUUGAUCUCUUAUGUUAUUGAUGAAAUUUUUUCUUGUUUUCGAAUGAACAGUUUAACUAUAAUUGUGAAAAAUUGUACUGUAAAUUUUGGCAUGUUGUAAUGCCAAUAGUUCUAAAUGUACCUCAAAUAUAUUACAAAAGGUGAUGGACUAGCUUUUUGGAUAUCUGUGUGCUUCAGAGAGGGUCUGCGAGAGAGUGUUCAUCUUCUCAAACUGUCAUUUUAGGCUAUAUAAAUUUGUGUAGAAUAAUGAAGUUUUCUGUAGUUUGUAUGUGUGUGCGUGUGUAACUUCUAUUAAUGGAAAUAAAGAAACUGCCAAGGGU